AUACGAAAGGUGCAAGCGUUGUUCGGACUUACUGGGCGUAAAGAGAUCGUAGGUGGUUUAUUAAGUCGGAUGUGAAAUCCCGGGGCUCAACCCCGGAACUGCAUUCGAUACUGGUAGACUAGAGUUUGGGAGGGGUAAGCGGAAUUCCGUGUGUAGCAGUGAAAUGCGUAGAUAUACGGAGGAACACUUGAGGCGAAGGCGGCUUACUGGACCAAUACUGACACUGAGGAUCGAAAGCGUGGGUAGCAAACAGGAUUAGAAACCCUAGUAGUCC
rnacentral:rRNA from 1 species